ACUACGGGAGGCAGCAGUGAGGAAUAUUGGUCAAUGGACGCAAGUCUGAACCAGCCAUGCCGCGUGCAGGAAGACGGCUCUAUGAGUUGUAAACUGCUUUUGUACGAGGGUAAAUCCCGAUACGUGUAUCGGGUUGAAAGUAUCGUACGAAUAAGGAACGGCUAACUCCGUGCCAGCAGCAGCGGUAAGACGGAGGAUUCAAGCGUUAUCCGGAUUUAUUGGGUUUAACGGGUGCGUAGGCGGUUCGAUAAGUUAGAGGUGAAAGCCCGGGGCGAAACUCCGGCACUGACUCUGAUACUGUCGGGCUAGAGUUUAGUUGCGGUAGGCGGAAUGUAUGGUGUAGCGGUGAAAUGCAUAGAGAUCAUACAGAACACCGAUUGCGAAGGCAGCUUACCAAACUACGACUGACGUUGAGGCACGAAAGCGUGGGGAGCAAACAGGAUUAGAUACCCGUGUAGUC
rnacentral:rRNA from 1 species